GUGGUUCAGAGCCCCCACCCUCCUCCUCAGCCUCUUCCUUCCCCACCCCCACGCCCAGCCUCUGUCUAGAGGAGGCCUCACCCCUGCGGAGGCUGUGCCGGCCCCUCUCCGACCAGCCCCUGCCCUCAGCCGCUUUCCACAGCGACUCUCACAGUCGUCUGGGGAACAGCCUGGUGACACCCGGGCCCUGACACCUGGGGGUGGCACUCCAACAAUUCAAUCUCCACAUUGUGAGCAGCCGACCACCGUCCUCGCACCCCACGUAGGCACCGUACGUUCCUGAGGAAGUGCCACGUUUCUCUGCAGAAACCCUCACGUUCUGGGUCGGCCAGAACGAUUCCAUUCUCAUGCAUUUUGAGUGCAGAGAGGCUAAUCAUGAGCAAAACACCGGAGAAGCCCACAUUGAGGGAUGUUCCACAGCGCUCCGGACCAGCUCUCCUCCAAACUGUCACAAAGGCUCGUGGGAAACCAGGAGAGGACCGAGAGGUGGCCGCAGAGGAAGACAGCCCCGGGCGUCCUCUCUACGUGAUGACAUCCAAACCCAUCACUGUCACCCCCUUAUAUGUUCUGCUGGCCUCCACAUCUCUAUCUAAAGCCCAGAGCUUUCUCCAGAGCUUCCAACUGUCAUCGUCAUCUGCCCAGUGCAAAUCUCCAUUGGAGGCGCUGUGGCUCUGCUCAGUCUCACCUCACACAACAUUGAAGAAAUUUUUAUUGUCCGUUCAAGUCUUCUUAUUGUCCUCUGUUCCAUAUCUUUAUUUAUUUAUUUAUUUUUGGUCUUGAUUUCUUGGUUACUAAAUGCUUAUAGCAAAUAAAUCAGGCAAUGAAAAUUUUCAAAAACCAAAUCAAUCAAAGACGCUACAUUUCCCAAAACCAAGCUGAGCCUCUGGAGAGAGCAGGCCCCGGCGUCUGGAAGGAGCUCUCCGUGAGCAGCCUGGCGUCGGGGUGAGUCAUUUGCGGCCUUAAGACUGUAGGAAGCCAAUGAGGAGUUCUCCCUCCUGGUGGAAACUGGUGAGGGACCUGCCUGGAAUCGCAGGGAGACAUUCGGGCGGCGGCUCUUCCCCGGCAGCCGGUAACCACGGCAUGUUUGUGAAACCCCCUGGGCGUUCCCCAGCACGGCCUCGGUGGUCCUCGGUCCCAGCAUCCAGGUGGAGAGAAGACACGGGCCUCCUCCGAGUGGGCCUCUCUCUUCCGCCCCCACCCCGACCUUUAUUCCGGCUGCUCUUUGAUAGAGCCAAACCCCCUCUGAUCACCCCGCUUCCUCCUCUCGCUGCCUCGAGUCACUCGAGCCUUCUGCAUUAUUAAUAAAAAGUUUC